GUUCGCCUUGAAAACUGUUAGACUAGAGUGUAGGAGAGGUUGAUGGAAUUCCAUGUGUAGCGGUGAAAUGCGUAGAUAUAUGGAGGAACACCAGUGGCGAAGGCGGUCAACUGGCCUAUCACUGACGUUUAGGCACGAAAGCGUGGGGAGCAAAUAGGAUUAGAUACCCUAGUAGUCCACGCCGUAACCGAUGAGUACUAAGUGUCGGACUAAGUUCGGUGC
rnacentral:rRNA from 1 species